UACGUAGGGUGCAAGCGUUGUCCGGAAUUAUUGGGCGUAAAGAGCUCGUAGGCGGUUUGUCGCGUCUGCUGUGAAAACUCGGGGCUUAACCCCGGGCCUGCAGUGGGUACGGGCAGACUAGAGUGCGGUAGGGGAGACUGGAAUUCCUGGUGUAGCGGUGAAAUGCGCAGAUAUCAGGAAGAACACCGGUGGCGAAGGCGGCUCUCUGGAACGGUACUGACGCUGAGACGCGAAAGCGUGGGGAGCGAACAGG
rnacentral:rRNA from 1 species